UACGAAGGGUGCUAGCGUUGUUCGGAAUCACUGGGCGUAAAGCGCGCGUAGGCGGCGUUUCAAGUCAGGGGUGAAAUCCUUGGGCUCAACCCAAGAAUUGCCUUUGAAACUGUAACGCUAGAGUGUCGGAGGGGAUAGCGGAAUUGCUAAUGUAGAGGUGAAAUUCGUAGAUAUUAGCAGGAACACCGGUGGCGAAGGCGGCUAUCUGGACGACAACUGACGCUGAGGCGCGAAAGCGUGGGGAGCAAACAGG
rnacentral:rRNA from 1 species